CAGGAUGAAGACCACCGUGGCAAUACUACUGUUGGUUUUCCUGACGUUAUAUUGCACUGAACCCGUCCCAGCGCUUGCCACACCUGCGCCCACACCUGCAGCCACACCUGAAGAUAGAAAUAACCUGCAGGGAAACGCUACUGUAGGAGAUAAUAGUGAAAAUGUGAAGAUAGGGAAGAAUGCAAGCUUUUCAGUAUUUUUUACGGGUUCACUAAAUGGGUCAAGUACGAACAAUGUUUCCUUUUUUUAACGGGGUUACAAAAUGGUGAUGGUGAUGGUGAUGAUGGUGGUGGAUUCUUUAAUGAUACGAAGGUGGUGAAUGAUGGAGGAGGAGGAGGAGGAGGAGGAGGAGGAGGAGGAGGAGGAGGAGGAGGAAACUCGACAGAUUCCUCCAUUUCUACCGAGAAGAUUGGACAUUUGCAUAUGAUUAAGGUUGGCGUGCUGUGUACCGUACUGUCCGUGCUGCUGCUGUUUACGUGCAAGAUGCUGUUACAAGUCUUCGCCCAGUACGCCGUGAGAGAGAAGCCAGGGGAGUUGUAAGAGCGCCUCCCAUUGGUCCCCGUGGCUGGUCCUUGUGUCUGAUUGGCUCCUCGUGUCCUGGCUGUGUGUUAGGAGGGUUCUGAUUGGCCAGCUUGUGUUUACCUGGUUUGUGUGACUAUUGAACGAUUUAUGGAAGAACGAGUGGAUAGAUAGAUAGAAAAGUAGAUAAAGGAAAUAUAGAUAGAUAAGUAAAUAGAUAGAUAGACAGAAAAAUAGAUAAAUGGAGAGAUAGAUAAUUAGAUAAGUAAAUAGAUAGAUAGAUAGAUAAUAGAUAGAUAGAUAGAUAGAUAGAUAGAGAGAGAGAGAGAGAGAGAGAGAGAGAGAGAGAGAGAGAGAGAGAGCAACAACAUUCCAAACUAUAUCUCCGUCAGUACCGGAAUGAUACUCGAAUGAAUCACAUAAACACAAACAAACAAACGAACAAUUGCCUUAACCUUUGACCUGACACGCGAGGUCACACUUAGCAUUAGGUUAGGGGAAGCAGGGAGGUCAGGAUGGGUCAGCUGUACAAUACUCACUCAUUGGAAGGUAGAAUUGGUUAGGUUAGGUUAAGUUAGGCAGUAAAUUAUGCAAAUGUAUCCCUUAUUUAUUUAUUUGUUGUGGGAGGAUGGAUGUUGGGAUGUGUUCUUAAUAAAAAUGUACAAAAAACAACUA